rnacentral:lncRNA from 1 species
UUUCCUUUCCUUAUUUCCUUCUUUCCUUUCCUUUCCUUUCCUUUCCUUUCCUUUCCUUUCCUUUCCUUUCCUUUCCUUUCCUUUCCUUUCCUUUCCUUUCCUCUUUCCUCUUUCCUCUUUCCUCUUUCUUCUUUUCCUCUUUCCUCUUUCCUCUUUCCUUCCCUUCCCUUCCCCUCCCUUUCCUAGGCAGGAGGGCUGAGCAGUAAGAAGGCAGAGAGCUUGGCUCCUGGGUGCUGCUGUCCUUCCAGCUGCCCCAGUGCCCUCGCAGGGCACCGUGAACAGCCGCUCCUGCCCGUGAGGCAGCUGGUCCGUCUCAGGUUCCUCCUCCUCCUCUCCUGGGGACCCAGCGGCCAGCCGCCCUCCUGCUUGCCGGACUUAACCAGAGGCCGUUUUCUUGGAGAGUUUGUUUUCCGGUGGUUGAAGUCCUCUUGCAGAAGAGUUUGUAAAGUGAAGAACAGAACAACGUGA